CAGUCGCCGCGGGAAAACGAAGGGUGCAAGCGUUACUCGGAAUUACUGGGCGUAAAGCGUGCGUAGGUGGUGGUUUAAGUCCGUUGUGAAAGCCCUGGGCUCAACCUGGGAAUUGCAGUGGAUACUGGAUCACUAGAGUGUGGUAGAGGAUAGUGGAAUUUCCGGUGUAGCAGUGAAAUGCGUAGAGAUCGGAAAGAACAUCUGUGGCGAAGGCGACUAUCUGGGCCAACACUGACACUGUGGCACGAAAGCGUGGGGAGCAAACAGGAUUAGAUACCCCCGUAGUCCCUGUCUCUUAUAU
rnacentral:rRNA from 1 species